rnacentral:lncRNA from 1 species
AGUUAGAUACUUAGGAUCCUGCCAAGUAACUUUUUUUGAAGCCUAAUACAAAUUCAUUUAUUUUGCUUUCAACCAAAAACAAUAUGGAAUCUUUUAAAAAUUGCCUUAAAUAUUGUGCUCUUUAUACACAAUGACAUAUUAUAACUAGAAUUUUUCUUGGUUCUGGUACUUGAAUAAAAGUCUUGUUUUUCUUUUCCUCUGUUCUAUUCUUUUGCUUCUGCUAGUGAUCGUAAGCCAGUUGCUCAAAGACCAGUGUGGAAAAGGCUUAAGAAGGAAGAGCACCAGAGGGAAAUUACCAUCUGGAGACAAAAUGACACUGGGAACUUGGAGGAAAACGUUCAGGCACACCGUAUGAGGAAGCAGAACACUGGUUGUAGGUUGUGUGUUGAUGGCUUUCUAUGAGUAAAUGCCCUGAAAAUGUAUGUGACUAAGCACCAUAAUGUGGAUUUCUGAAAGCUGAAUGACUUAAAGAAAAAUCUUCUUAUUUCUAAAAAAAUCAACAAGUGGUUUCUUUUAGCAAGUUCUUAAAUUUCUGUAAGGCAUGAAUGAUCUAUUAUGUAAGGAAAGUGUUUCAAUACAGGUAUUCUGUCCUUAAGUGUCAUGGAAACCAAACGUCCUAUAAUGCAAAGCUCUGCUGCGUGCAGAUCUGUCCUUCUUUCACUACUCUCUUC